UCUGGUUGAUCCUGCCAGUAGUUAUAUGCUUGUUUCAAAGAUUAGGCCAUGCAUGUCUAAGUACACACAAAUUAAAAGUGAAACCGCAAAAGGCUCAAUAUAUCAGUUAUGGUUCCUUAGAUCGUUAACAGUUACUUGGAUAACUGUGGUAAUUCUAGAGCUAAUACAUGCAAUUAAAACAUGAACCUUAUGGGACAUGUGCUUUUAUUAGGCUAAAACCAAGCGAUCGCAAGAUUGUUUUAUUGGUUGAACUCUAGAUAACAUGCAGAUCGUAUGGUCUUGUACCGACGACAGAUCUUUCAAAUGUCAGCCCUUUCAACUUUUGAUAGUAGUAUCUAGGACUACCAUGGUUGCAACGGGUAACGGGGAAUCACGGUUCGAUUCUGGAGAGAGAGCCUGAGAAACGGCUACCACAUCUAAGGAAGGGAGCAGGCGCGUAAAUUACACACUCCCAGCUCGGGGAGGUAGUGACGAAAAAUAACAAUACAGGACUCAUAUCCGAGGCCCUGUGAUUAGAAUGAGUACACUUUAAAUCCUUUAACAAGGACCAAUUGGAGGGCAAGUCUGGUGGCAGCAGCCGCGGUAAUUCCAGCUCCAAUAGCGUAUAUUAAAGUUGUUGCGGUUAAAACAAUCGUAGUUGAACUUGUGCUUCAUACGGGUAGUACAACUUACAAUUGUGGUUAGUACUAUACUAUUACUGUAUGUAAGCGUAUUACCGGUGGAGUUCUCUUCAGUACCAAAAUUCCUUGCCCGUAUUUUUCCUCGACAGAGUUCGAAAAACAAAAACAAAUCUCACAGGCUUUUUCUAGCAACGUUUCAAACACCAAAGUCACGCCGAAUUCUGUCGUGGCUCUGCCGCUGCCUCUGCCCGCAGUUCAUAUUUGUUGGUUUUUUUUCGUAGUAGUUCGGAGCAGUGACCGAAAAUGAGAGUGAGAGAUGAGAGGAGACAAAAUCAGAGUCGAGAAAAAACGCAAUGUAUAGACUUCUAAAUACCGAUCUAAUAAUUGGUGGGAUAUUUAUAUUGUUUUAAGUGUAUAAAUAAUUUAUAUUUGUUGAUUUAAGUAUUUUAAGCUUUUUAAGAAAUUAAACUGUCGCUAUAGGCAACGCAAGUGCGUCCGUUUUUAAUUAUUUCUCUAUGUAAUUCUAAUUACACGGGAUCAUUAUGGUCGGAAAUACCGUGGCACGCGCCUGUCAGAAUUUUCGGUUUCGUUUUCCGUCACCCCUUUUCUUUUGCAUUUGCAAUUAAUUGUGAAAGUAACACGUCGUGUUUGUGAAAAAAUUCAAUUUGUUUUCAAAAAAAAUAGCUAAUUGCAAUUGUUAUGUUAAUUUUAUAUUCAUUAUAAAAUAUACCACGCCCAAGUCGAAAUUAAGGUUAAAAAUGAGCCGCGCUAUUUUUUUAAAGAUAAGUUUUCAUGAGCCUCUAUUUUUAUUUUGGCAUACA
rnacentral:rRNA from 1 species